rnacentral:rRNA from 1 species
UACAGAGGUUUCAAGCGUUGUUCGGAUUCAUUGGGCGUAAAGGGUGUGUAGGUGGCGCCGUAAGUCGGGUGUGAAAUUUCGGAGCUUAACUCCGAAACUGCAUUCGAUACUGGCGUGCUUGAGGACUGGAGAGGAGACUGGAAUUCAUGGUGUAGCAGUGAAAUGCGUAGAGAUCAUGAGGAAGACCAGUGGCGAAGGCGGGUCUCUGGACAGUUCCUGACACUGAGACACGAAGGCCAGGGGAGCAAACGGG